AUGGAUCCUGACUUCCUUUGCUGUACACCCACAACCUGUGGGUCAGCCUUCUUCUAUCCCAUGCCGAAGAGAGGAGGGUAGAUAUCAGCUCCACAAGAGGAGAAGCUGGAUACCGAUUUUCCAGGAAGUCAAUUGUGGAAGGAAAUGUCAUAUUCAACAUCUUAAUGAGGAAUAGGGUCGAGGAGUGAAAAGAAGACAGGAUUCAGUCAGAAGAGCUGAGUUCUGGUUCCUCCACAUAAUACCAUGGCUGUAGAAGUGACACAUAUUCUAAGCCUCAAUUUUUUGGCUGACUUUCCUCAUUCAUAAGGUUGUUGUGAAAAACAAAGCAAAACUAAUCAAUAUGAGUAAACUGCUAUGAAACACUGUCUAUUAUAUGUUUUCUUGAUAAACAUUUAUUGAGUGCUGUCUUUCAGUUGGUCUCCUGUGUUAGUAGCUUGUCAUACAGAGCUUCAAGAAGUCAAGCUUCAGGCCAUAGUCACAAAGAAUUCAGCUCUGAUUUGGAGAGAUAAAUAAGUACUUAGGGUGAGGUUGUGUACUAACAAACCCACUGUAAAGUCAAAAAAUUGUAAGCCAAACCGUCAAAAGUAAGAGACUGUAUAUGUAACUAUGUGUGUGUGUGUUGUUGUUUUUAAGAUGUGUUUUGGACAAACGAAAGUAAAAUCUCAUUUAAAAGAUUGAUUUUAAAAGCUUCCUCAAAGUUUUGUCAGUGCAUUAUUAGAGAUCCAGCCCAAUAUUUGUCAUCAUUUGUAUCUAUUAUUGCAGACAAUGAGAAUAAAUGUUUACAAGGUGAUGCAGCUAUGCUAUGUGAAUC
rnacentral:lncRNA from 1 species